UACGUAGGGUGCGAGCGUUGUCCGGAAUCAUUGGGCGUAAAGCGCGUGUAGGCGGCCCGGUAAGUCCGCUGUGAAAGUCGGGGGCUCAACCCUCGAAUGCCGGUGGAUACUGUCGGGCUAGAGUGCGGAAGAGGCGAGUGGAAUUCCUGGUGUAGCGGUGAAAUGCGCAGAUAUCAGGAGGAACACCAAUUGCGAAGGCAGCUCGCUGGGACGUGACUGACGCUGAGACGCGAAAGCGUGGGGAGCAAACAGG
rnacentral:rRNA from 1 species